rnacentral:rRNA from 1 species
UACGGAGGGGGCUAGCGUUGUUCGGAAUUACUGGGCGUAAAGCGCGCGCAGGCGGUUCUCCAAGUCAGUGGUGAAAGCCCGGAGCUCAACUCCGGAACUGCCAUUGAAACUGUUGAACUUGAGGACGAGAGAGGUGAGUGGAAUUCCCAGUGUAGAGGUGAAAUUCGUAGAUAUUGGGAAGAACACCGGUGGCGAAGGCGGCUCACUGGCUCGUUUCUGACGCUCAGGCGCGACAGCGUGGGGGAUCAAACAGG